rnacentral:tRNA from 1 species
UCCCCGGUAGCUCAAUGGUAGAGCGGGUGGCUGUUAACCACUAGGUUGUAGGUUCGAGUCCUGCCCGGGGAGC